rnacentral:rRNA from 1 species
AACGUAGGAGGCGAGCGUUAUCCGGAUUUACUGGGCGUAAAGCGUGCGCAGGCGGCUUCGUGAGUCGGAUGUGAAAGCUCCUGGCUUAACUGGGAGAGGCCAUUCGAUACUGCGAGGCUUGAGGUUGGGAGAGGGGUGCGGAAUUCCCGGUGUAGUGGUGGAAUGCGUAGAGAUCGGGAGGAACACCUGUGGCGAAGGCGACUACCUGGCCUGUUCUUGACGCUGAGGCGCGAAAGCUAGGGGAGCAAACGGGG